GGCGAACGGGUGAGUAACACGUGGGCAAUCUGCCCUGCACUCUGGGAUAACUCCGGGAAACCGGAGCUAAUACCGGAUACGACCACCGCGGGCAUCCGCGGUGGUGGAAAGCUCCGGCGGUGCAGGAUGAGCCCGCGGCCUAUCAGCUGGUUGGUGGGGUGACGGCCCACCAAGGCGACGACGGGUAGCCGGCCUGAGAGGGCGACCGGCCACACUGGGACUGAGACACGGCCCAGACUCCUACGGGAGGCAGCAGUGGGGAAUAUUGCACAAUGGGCGCAAGCCUGAUGCAGCGACGCCGCGUGAGGGAUGACGGCCUUCGGGUUGUAAACCUCUUUCAGCAGGGAAGAAGCGCAAGUGACGGUACCUGCAGAAGAAGCACCGGCUAACUACGUGCCAGCAGCCGCGGUAAUACGUAGGGUGCGAGCGUUGUCCGGAAUUAUUGGGCGUUAAAGAGCUCGUAGGCGGCCUGUCGCGUCCGAUGUGAAAGCCCCGGGGCUUAACCCCGGGUCGGCAUUCCAUACGGGCAAGGCU
rnacentral:rRNA from 1 species